GUGCCAGCCGCCGCGGUAAUACCGGCAGCCCGAGUGAUGGCCGAUCUUAUUGGGCCUAAAGCGUUCGUAGCCGGCCGGACAAGUCCGUUGGGAAAUCCACGCGCUCAACGCGUGGGCGUCCGACGGAAACUGCACAGCUUGGGGCCGGAAGGCUCGAAGGGUACGUUCGGGGUAGGAGUGAAAUCCUAUAAUCCCGCACGGACCACCGAUGGCGAAAGCACUUCGAGAAAACGGAUCCGACAGUGAGGGACGAAAGCCAGGGUCUCCAACCGGAUUAGAAACCCGUGUAGUCC
rnacentral:rRNA from 1 species